UACGGGGGGAGCAAGCGUUGUUCGGAUUUACUGGGCGUAAAGGGCGCGUAGGCGGCACCGCAAGUCGACUGUGAAAUCUCCGGGCUUAACUCGGAAAGGUCAGCCGAUACUGCGGGGCUAGAGUGCAGAAGGGGCAACUGGAAUUCUCGGUGUAGCGGUGAAAUGCGUAGAUAUCGGGAGGAACAUCUGUGGCGAAGGCGACACCCUGGACCAGCACUGACACUGAGGCACGAAAGCGUGGGGAGCAAACAGG
rnacentral:rRNA from 1 species